AUCCGAAGAUGCAUUGUUGUGGGAAAUCGUGACUACUACAACCCUCUCCUACCCUCUCCAACUCCUAUUCCGACACGUCCUCGUCGUGCAGAGUGGUAACGUGUGCCACCACAUAUUCAAGCUUGGGUACACAGGCUUGAUCCAACCCCUUGGGCGGAUGGUGGCAUAUGGCAAACCAGGAAGUG
rnacentral:ribozyme from 1 species